UGUGAGUGCAGACUUGCCAACAUGUAAGAAUGUGUUGCACUGAGAAUGCAAUACAUUUGUAUGCUUCACUGCUGUCCAGUUUGUUGCAUUUUGCUGGUUUGUGUUUCCAGUCCAGUCUGCACAGUACAGAUAAAUAAAAUAUUAUUUCAAAUCGGGGGAGCGCGAAAAAAUGGCGGUCCCCCAGUGGGGGCAUGACAGAAAAUAAUAGAACCACUGCAUUAAACUGUUCUUCAGCUGAUCAGAAGUUUAAGAUCGCCGCCUUUAAAAGCCAAAGUCUUGACAAAAGUAUGGACUCAAUGUCAUUUUCUGUCAGGUAUUCACACUGUCAUGAUGUCUUGAUGGAAAAGGCAAAAAUGCUUCCUCUCUUUGAACAUGAUGGGAUAAUUGAGAUGCAUAAGCAAAGACAGCCAUUUUUUGGAAUUUGCAGCGGAGCACCAAACAUGGGACAUAAAAAGGUGGAAGAAAGUUUUACUCCCUUGACGGUCCUGAUGGCUCCCAACGUUACUGGCAUGACAAGGAGAUCCUACCUGAGAAGUUUUCCACAUGGCACAGUGGAGGGGGCGUCGUCAUGAUACUUCAAUGGAACAAUGGAGUUUCAGGUUGUGCAGGGGCGUCCAACGGCAGCCGGCUAUGUGGAGAUGUUGCAGGGGGCAUCCCUCAUGACUGAAGGCCCUCAUCUGUGUGGUAAUGACUGACUUUUUCAACAGGACAACGCUGCACUUGACUUCUUCCAUAGGAAUGAGCUCACUCUUUUGGACCAUCCUGCGUGUUCCCUUGGUCUAAAUCCAAUUUGGGAGAACAUUUGGGGAUAGAUGGCAAGGGAAGUUGACAUAAAUGGACAUCAGUUCCCGACUGUGCUGUCUGUGAAGUCAUCUUUACCACCUGGAGGACAGAGAGGGGUUCAGUGGAAUUGAGCCAACAUUACCCCCUGUUGGGUGGGACAACCUCAUCUUGGAACCAGCAACCAGGGUCAGCAGGUGGGUUAAACAGGCAUAGAAUGGACAACAAAGCGUGAGGACCAACACCAAUUGAGUAGCAAACAUGUCUGUCCGUCCUCUCUGGGCAAGAGUUGCCGACUCGUUUGCUCACCCUCUGUCUGCGUGGUCUGUGGGAGGCUCAGAGGUCAGGUGUGGACAGCUGCUGCACUUUGACCUUCGCGGGCUGUGGAGUUCCUGCACAUGCAUAUAAAAGAGAUG